rnacentral:rRNA from 1 species
GUCUCGCCUCUGCGUGUAGACUCGCCUCAAAACAAUUGGCAGCCGGCGUAUUGAUUUCGGAGCGCAGUACAUCUCGCGCUUUGCACUCAUAACGACGACGAUCCAAAAGUACAUUUUUACACUCUUGACCUCGGAUCAGGUAGGGAUACCCGCUGAACUUAAGCAUAUCAAUAAGCGGAGGAAAAGAAACCAACAGGGAUUGCCCUAGUAACGGCGAGUGAAGCGGCAACAGCUCAAAUUUGAAAUCUGGCGUCUUCGGCGUCCGAGUUGUAAUUUGCAGAGGGCGCUUUGGCAUUGGCAGCGGUCCAAGUUCCUUGGAACAGGACGUCACAGAGGGUGAGAAUCCCGUACGUGGUCGCUAGCCUUUACCGUGUAAAGCCCCUUCGACGAGUCGAGUUGUUUGGGAAUGCAGCUCUAAAUGGGAGGUAAAUUUCUUCUAAAGCUAAAUACUGGCCAGAGACCGAUAGCGCACAAGUAGAGUGAUCGAAAGAUGAAAAGCACUUUGGAAAGAGAGUUAAAAAGCACGUGAAAUUGUUGAAAGGGAAGCGCUUGCAGCCAGACUUGCCUGUAGUUGCUCAUCCGGGUUUCUACCCGGUGCACUCUUCUAUAGGCAGGCCAGCAUCAGUUUGGGCGGUUGGAUAAAGGUCUCUGUCAUGUACCUCCUCUCGGGGAGAACUUAUAGGGGAGACGACAUGCAACCAGCCCGGACUGAGGUCCGCGC